rnacentral:misc_RNA from 1 species
CCGGUGGUGGUGGUUAGAUAUCCAGAUGAUAAGGAAGCUGGUGGAAAUGGUGAAGGCGAGGCCGUAGUUAACGUUAACGUCCCUAUUGAGGAGGAAGACGAGGAGGACGCCAAUCGCAAAGGUGCAUAGACUGAGCUUUGGAAUCCAUGGCUAGCUCCUCUUCAUAGCAGAUCCAAUUAUGCAUCAGCAGAGAUUAGGUGUGGCAUGCUAAGAGAGACAUGGCGUUGUUUUGUUGGACCAUCUGCAAAAUAGAAAUACUUCUUUUGCUUCUCUCUUGUCAUCGGUUCCCAUGUAUGAAAAAUAGAGAGAGACUUGUGGUGAUAUAAGUAUGGCUAAUGAAUGUAAGGUUUUCAGAUUAUCUGCUAGUCCUUUAGAAACAUGUUUUUGCUGGAUUGUUAUGUACAUCAUUUUUCUCUUGAAGAUUGAAUCUCUACGAGUUU